CCUACGGGUGGCAGCAGUGAGGAAUAGUGGUCAAUGGGCGCGAGCCUGAACCAGCCAAGUAGCGUGAAGGAUGACUGCCCUACGGGUUGUAAACUUCUUUUAUAAAGGAAUAAAGUGAGGCACGGGGGCCUUUUUGUAUGGACUUUAUGAAUAAGGAUCGGCUAACUCCGUGCCAGAAGCCGCGGUAAUACGGAGGAUCCGUGCGUUAUCCGGAUUUAUGGGGUUUAAAGGGAGCGUAGAGGGGUUGUUAAGUCAGUGGUGAAAGUUUGCGGCUCAACCGUAAAAUUGCACUUGAUACUGGCAGUCUUGCGUACAGUUGCGGUCGGCGGAAUUCGUGGUGUAGCUGU
rnacentral:rRNA from 1 species